GACGGAAGGUGCAAGCGUUGCUCGGAAUCACUGGGCGUAAAGGGUGCGUAGGCGGCCGUGCAAGUCUGGCGUGAAAGCCCCGGGCUCAGCCCGGGAAGUGCGCUCGAAACUGCGCGGCUCGAGUGCCGGAGGGGAGAGUGGAAUUCCCAGUGUAGCGGUGAAAUGCGUAGAUAUUGGGAGGAACACCAGUGGCGAAGGCGGCUCACUGGACCGGAACUGACGCUGAGGCGCGAAAGCGUGGGGAGCAAACAGG
rnacentral:rRNA from 1 species